GGCCGAUGGCGUCUGGUUCUCUGGGUUCCUCCGCCUCUGCGGUUUAACGGCGCUGCUAUUGUUAGAAAAACAGUAGCUACCGAGAACCGAGCAGAUCAGCAGAGGACAUCUUCCGGCGGCGGCCGGCUGGUAGAAGCUCCGAAGGACGCAGCAGGAGGCAGCCCGGGGACCCCCUGCAGCCGCAACCGGGAGGGGGGGGGGGGGGGGGGGCGCCGCCCAGGUUGGCCGAUGGGUAGCUCCUCCAGUGUGGCUAGGUAUUAGUUUUAUUUCUGUUUCCAAUAGCCUCUUCUCCAUCUGAGCGCUUAUUCCACUUUGCGACUACGGUUUUAGUAGUCUUCCUUUUAAUCCAUUGCUAUGCUUAGCCAUUUUCUUAUGAAAGUUGGCUAAAUAGCUGGCCCUUAAUCUAUUCUUUUUUAAGAUAAUAAAGGAGCAUAAUCCUUUUUCUUUUUAUUGAUAUUUCUUUGGCUUAAUGGGUAAUUAUUUGUUAUCAUUGGGGGCAUUGCUUCUUCCAAUCUAGAGGGUUGAAUUUGCACCAAAGGAAACCAUAAAUUUCAUAUACAAUAGAAAUCAUUGUCAAGCAAGGAAAUGCAAUGUGGUUGGGUGUUUGGAUCUGUGGCAACGGCAACUCUGUGAUGGCAAGAAUUUUCCUUGCUAUAUGAGGCUAGCCAAUUUGGCUCUCCCACCCUGGCAAGGUAAUGCUAGCCUGGCGAGGCGAGGCAAGCUAAGGAACUAAACUGGGCCUUAUUAUCUUGGAAAUAUUUGGGGGAAAGACAAUGGUAUGGUAAGGUUAGCAAGAUUGAUGAAAAUUGACUUGUGGAGAUAAAAUUUUAUAAUGUGAAUGCUACAUUAUAGUUUUCCUGUGGGAAACUCAAGUGGCAUGGACAUUGAGCAGGUUCUCUUUAGGGAUUGGGAUGAGAUGUUUCAUACUUACAGCAAAUGAACAACUACUACAAUAUACUGUAUAUAGACAAACAAUAUUCUCACAACAAAUGCACAGCUAUAAUAUACUGUGGUAACAAACAAUAUUUUGGCACCUCAUUGUCAGCACUACAUGAACAAACUAUAUAAAACAAAAUUCCUGUAUAUAUGAGCAUUGAGAUUUGGAGGAAACAUAACAGACAAGAAUAAGUACAUAUCUUAGCUGGUAAAUAUCAGUAAUACCAUGACUAGCAGUAACUAAUGACUGAUCAACCAAUUACUUUUUCUCACACGCGUAUUUCUUUGACAUGGUGCAGCUUCAUCCUCCAAUUGUCUCUUUCCCACUCUACCUUGAAUUCAGGGGGCUGCAUCGAGACAUUAAGCUUUCUGAGGGAUGAAACAAGCUCCAAACCUUUAGGAACUUCCUUGAGAGACGUUAG
rnacentral:lncRNA from 1 species